AGGGAUUGCCCUAGUACGGCGAGUGAAGCGGCAACAGCUCAAAUUUGAAAGCUAGCCUUCGGGUUCGCAUUGUAAUUUGUAGAGGAUGAUUUGGGGAAGCCGCCUGUCUAAGUUCCUUGGAACAGGACGUCAUAGAGGGUGAGAAUCCCGUAUGUGACAGGAAAUGGCACCCUAUGUAAAUCUCCUUCGACGAGUCGAGUUGUUUGGGAAUGCAGCUCUAAAUGGGAGGUAAAUUUCUUCUAAAGCUAAAUAUUGGCGAGAGACCGAUAGCGCACAAGUAGAGUGAUCGAAAGAUGAAAAGCACUUUGGAAAGAGAGUUAAAAAGCACGUGAAAUUGUUGAAAGGGAAGCGCUUGCAAUCAGACUUGUUUAAACUGUUCGGCCGGUCUUCUGACCGGUUUACUCAGUUUGGACAGGCCAGCAUCAGUUUCGGCGGCCGGAUAAAGGCUCUGGGAAUGUGGCCUCCACUUCGGUGGAGGUGUUAUAGCCCAGGGUGUAAUACGGCCAGCCGGGACUGAGGUCCGCGCUUCGGCUAGGAUGCUGGCGUAAUGGUUGUAAGCGACCCGUCUUGAAACACGGACCAAC
rnacentral:rRNA from 1 species